rnacentral:rRNA from 1 species
CUGGCGGCGUGUUCAUACAUGCAGGUAUUACGAGGGCUCAUUUCCCGCAAGGGAGGUGGGUUCCUAGCGGUGAACGGGUGAGUAGCACGAGGGCAACCUGUCCUUUCGUGGGGGAUAACACCGAGAAAUCGGUGCUAAUACCGCAUGUCGUCGCUGAAGGCAUCUUCGGCGAACGAAGCAGCAAUGCGCGAGAGGGUGGGCCCGCGACCUAUCAGCUUGUCGGUGGGGUAACGGCCUACCGAGGCUCUGACGGGAAGCUGGUCUGAGAGGACGACCAGCCACACGGGGACUGAGACACGGCCCCGACUCCUACGGGAGGCAUCAGU